rnacentral:rRNA from 1 species
CAUGCUUUAUACAUGCAAGUCGAACGCGAAAGUGUCUUCGGACAUUAGUAGAGUGGCAAACGGGUGAGUAACGCGUGGGAAUAUACCUUAUAGUACGGAAUAGCCUCGGGAAACUGGGAUUAAUACCGUAUACGCCCUGAGGGGGAAAGAUUUAUCGCUAUAAGAUUAGCCCGCGUCAGAUUAGCUAGUUGGUGGGGUAAUGGCCUACCAAGGCAACGAUCUGUAGCUGGUCUGAGAGGAUGAUCAGCCACAUUGGAACUGAGAUACGGCCCAAACUCCUACGGGAGGCAGCAGUAGGGAAUAUUGGACAAUGGACGAAAGUCUGAUCCAGCAAUGCCGCGUGAGUGAUGAAGGCCUUAGGGUUGUAAAGCUCUUUUAGUGGGGAAGAUAAUGACGGUACCCACAGAAAAAGCACCGGCUAACUUCGUGCCAGCAGCCGCCGUAA